GUUCCUGUUUUGUCCAUCAGGUUGACACCAGAGUUAAUGAAGGUCCGAUGAACAUGAAGAGCAGCCAGAAACUCCUGAACACUCAGAUGGACGAAGCAGAACACCUUGUCCUGAUGUCCUGAAGGUUCCUCAUCAGUGAUGCAGAAAACUUCAUGUCUACAGAGUGUUGAUCAGUCAGAGAAAUGAUUGAAGUGAAACAGAUCUUACCAUCAUGAUGCUGACCAACAGCUCACCAAUCAUCCCUCCUGAUGGAGACCAGCACCAUCUAUCUCCACCUCUGAGAACCUGCUGAUGUCUCCUGAGCCUCCACAAUCAUUACAGCAUCUAAAUGACUUUAACAAACUGAAUUAUGUCUUCUUGACAGAAACACAUCAGAAGAGAAAAUCCACAACUUGCUGCCUGGAUUUGUUCCCUCUGAGUUUCUAAAAGCAGUUUUUAGCUGUGAUGCCCCUGAAAUAUUACAGAUAGUAAAUACUUCCCUCCAGUUAGUUUGUUUUCUAAAGGCUGAAAACUGCAGAGAUCAAACCUCUGUUAGAGAAACCAACUCUAGAUCCAUGGAUAAUAAGUCCCUACAGGACCAGAACUAAUCCACUGGUUCUGGAAAAGAUCAUUGAAAAUGGUUCUGAUGAACAAAUGUAUGACUUUGUGAUGAAAUGAAUCUCUUCAGUGAUUUCUAGUCAGGCUUCAGACCACAGCACAGAGACUGCACUGCUAAACGUUUACAAUGAUGCUCAUCUUGACUGGAAUGGCUCCAGAACUCCUCUGUUGGUUCUACUGGAUCUCAGUUCUGCUGAACACAGUUCAUCACAACAUGUUGAUGAUCCAACUAGAACACUGGCUGGAU